rnacentral:rRNA from 1 species
UACAGAGGGUGCGAGCGUUAAUCGGAAUUACUGGGCGUAAAGCGCGCGUAGGCGGCUUUGCAAGUCGAGUGUGAAAUCCCCAGGCUUAACCUGGGAACUGCAUUCGAGACUGCAUAGCUAGAGUAUGGGAGAGGGAAGUGGAAUUUCAGGUGUAGCGGUGAAAUGCGUAGAUAUCUGAAGGAACAUCAGUGGCGAAAAGCGACUUCCUGGCCAAUCUGACGCUCAUGUGCGAAAGCGUGGGGAGCAAACAGG